CCUACGGGUGGCAGCAGUGGGGAAUAUUGCACAAUGGGGGAAACCCUGAUGCAGCGACGCCGCGUGAAGGAAGAAGGUUUUCGGAUCGUAAACUUCUAUCAGCAGGGAAGAAGGAAGUGACGGUACCUGACUAAGAAGCCCCGGCUAACUACGUGCCAGCAGCCGCGGUAAUACGUAGGGGGCGAGCGUUGUCCGGAAUUACUGGGCGUAAAGGGUGCGUAGGCGGUCAUGUAAGUCAGAUGUGAAAGCCCUCGGCUUAACCCCGGGAUUGCAUUUGAAACUGUCUUACUAGAGUGCAGGAGAGGAAAGCGGAAUUCCUAGUGUAGCGGUGAAAUGCGUAGAUAUUAGGAAGAACACCAGUGGCGAAGGCGGCUUUCUGGACUGUAACUGACGCUGAGGCACGAAAGCGUGGGGAGCGAACAGGAUUAGAUACCCGAGUAGUC
rnacentral:rRNA from 1 species